rnacentral:rRNA from 1 species
GUCUACGGCCACACCACCCUGAACAUGCUCAACCUCGUCUGAUCUCGGAAGCUAAGCAAGGUCAGGCCUGGUUAGUACUUGGAUGGGAGAAAAUAAGUAGACGAGCCA